rnacentral:rRNA from 1 species
UACGGAGGGUACAAACGUUGUUCGGAAUCACUGGGCAUAAAGCGCGCGUAGGCGGUCUAGCAAGUCAGGUGUGAAAGCCCCCGGCUCAACCGGGGAACUGCAUUUGAUACUACUAGGCUUGAGAAAGGUAGGGGUAAGUGGAACUCCAGGUGGAGCGGUGAAAUGCGUAGAUAUCUGGAGGAACUCCUGUGGCGAAAGCGGCUUACUGGACCUUUUCUGACGCUGAGGUGCGAAAGCUAGGGUAGCGAACGGG